GUGGGUAGUAUGAGCAUUGAUCAAUUCAGUGAUCAUCGAAUCUUUGAACGCACAUUGCGCCUCUUGCAUUCCGAGAGGCAUGCCUGUUUGAGUGUCAUUAA
rnacentral:rRNA from 1 species